rnacentral:rRNA from 1 species
UUCUUACCAAUACAAAUAAUUGUAAGUAACAUCUGCUCAAUGAACAUUUAAAUUGCCGCGGCAAUUUAACCGUGCUAAGGUAGCAUAAUCAUUAGCCUCUUAAUUAGAGGCUUGUAUGAAUGAUGAUACAAUUUAUUUUCUUUAUUAUUUAUUUUAAUUGAAAUUUAAUUAAGAAUAAAAAUGUUCUUAUAAUUUAAAUAGACGAUAAGACCCUUUUGAACUUCACUUUAGUUUAGCUGGGGUAGCUAAAAAAUAAAUAUCUUUUAUAUAAUAUUAUAUAAUAAAUGAUCCAAUAUAUAUAUUGAAUAUAUGAACAAGUUACCAUAGGGAUAACAGCGUAAUAAAUUUCUAAAGCUCUUAUUUAAAAAUUUGAUUACGACCUCGAUGUUGAAUUAAUGUAACCUUUUAGUGCAAUAAUUAUAAAGGUAAGUCUGUUCGACUUUUAAAACAU